AAGCAUAUGUGUGAGCUUAUAGACCCACCAGAGGACAUACAGAACCAACCGGAAGCGAAAAAUUCAGAAGCAACACCUACCAAGGACAUAACCGAGACAGCUGAUUCUGACAUACCAAGGACAUAAUCGAGCUGAUUCUACCGUAGGAGAGGAUGAAGCUCCACCAUAGAAGGCAAGACGAGAAAGAACGCAUUUACUCCUGCUCUAUUUCAUAUCUCACAGUAAACUUCACUAGCUCACUAAUUUUACAACCUGGCCACCACUUCACUGCAGUCACUAAGCACAAAUCCUAUCUUCACCAAGAAACAUCAAGGCUUCACUCGGUGUGGCAAACAAAAUUGACUACACAUGAUAAAAUAACAACCAGUCGGAGACUCUUCAUGAAGAAACCAUUUCACCAACUUUUGCUACUGAGAUCACAAUGCAUAAUACAACUACCUUACGUACUGCCACUGGGAUAAACACUACAGCAGUCAUGUAAUAUUACGUACCAAGAAGAUCAUCUAUAAUUAUCUAGAGUGGCCUUCUAUCUGUA